UACAGAGGGUGCAAGCGUUGUUCGGAUUCACUGGGCGUAAAGGGUGCGUAGGCGGCGCGGUAAGUCGGGUGUGAAAUCUCGGAGCUUAACUCCGAAACUGCAUUCGAUACUGCCGUGCUUGAGGACUGGAGAGGAGACUGGAAUUUACGGUGUAGCGGUGAAAUGCGUAGAUAUCGUAAGGAAGACCAGUGGCGAAGGCGGGUCUCUGGACAGUUCCUGACGCUGAGGCACGAAGGUCAGGGGAGCAAACGGG
rnacentral:rRNA from 1 species